rnacentral:rRNA from 1 species
AUUGAACGCUGGCGGCAGGCCUAACACUUGCAAGUCGAGCGGAUGAAGGGAGCUUGCUCCUGGAUUCAGCGGCGGACGGGUGAGUAAUGCCUAGGAAUCUGCCUGGUAGUGGGGGAUAACGUCCGGAAACGGGCGCUAAUACCGCAUACGUCCUGAGGGAGAAAGUGGGGGAUCUUCGGACCUCACGCUAUCAGAUGAGCCUAGGUCGGAUUAGCUAGUUGGUGGGGUAAAGGCCUACCAAGGCGACGAUCCGUAACUGGUCUGAGAGGAUGAUCAGUCACACUGGAACUGAGACACGGUCCAGACUCCUACGGGAGGCAGCAGUGGGGAAUAUUGGACAAUGGGCGAAAGCCUGAUCCAGCCAUGCCGCGUGUGAGAAGAAGGUCUUCGGAUUGUAAAGCACUUUAAGUUGGGAGGAAGGGCAGUAAGUUAAUACCUUGCUGUUUUGACGUUACCAACAGAAUAAGCACCGGCUAACUUCGUG